UCCAAUUGAAAUCUGACGCCUCAGAAAUUGUGCUUCUUACGUAAUAAAAAAAUCAGCAGGGAACUAACUACCUGCAGCUCCCUUGCGUUAUCCUCUCCCUUAAUCUCUCCCGAUUCCAAUCGCAGCAGCACCGGCCCGAUCUCCUCCACCUCGCCCAGAUCCCUUCUCCCCCUGCCUCGCAUGCAGCUUCAUCCUGCUCUCCUCACCGUCGAGCAGCAUGGCCACCCAACCAGCCAGCUCCGCCCCUGUCUCUCCAAACAUCAUCCACUGAUCAAACCCCCCAUCCUCAUCUUGAUUGGUGCUUUUUUUCAGGUCAAAUCACGUGCAUUGGCGGCUGAACCAGCUACAGGAGUAGCACUGGCCGGCCAGAGAACCUAGUGGAUUGCAAAAUCUGCCCCCACCACCCCAAUUACAAGCGCCCCGUAUUGAAAUCAAAGGUCAUCGAACAAUGUGUGUGUUCUGCUUGACUCCACCCUUGAUGACGUGGUGGUCAUAGCCUCAAACUGUAUGUGUGACAUUUAUGGUUGUGGUGUGUGGAAGACACAAAGGAGCCUGUGGUCGUGCCAUGCCCAGAGAGGAGAUCGUGAUUGGAUAAGAUUAGAGGCCGGGACAAUAUUUGUCCACAAAAGAGACAAUGUGCUAGCAUCUGGCUCAAGUUAAAGAAUUUUUUUUCUCGGAUGCAAAUUAUAUUUUAUUCGGAAGCAGAUUCUAAUAUCUCUAGAGAAAUGUCUUAUUGAUGGAAACAAAUAUUUUUUUUCUA